rnacentral:misc_RNA from 1 species
GAUGAAGAACGUAGCGAAAUGCGAUACUUGGUGUGAAUUGCAGAAUCCCGUGAACCAUCGAGUCUUUGAACGCAAGUUGCGCCUCAAGCCAUUAGGUUGAGGGCACGUCUGCCUGGGCGUCACAUAUCGUUGCCUGAUGCCAGUUUCCUCGUGAUGGGUGACCGUGCAGGGCGAAUGAUGGCUUCCCGUGAGCAUUGUUGCCUCAUGGUUGGUUGAAGAUUGAGUCCUUGGUAGGGAGCGCCGUGAUAGAUGGUGGUUGAGUGACGAACGAGACCCAAUCAUGUGAGACCCCUACCGAAUUUGGCCUUCAUGACCCACAUGCGUCUUUGGAACGCUCAUGACGAGACCUCAGGUCAGGCGGGGCUACCCGCUGAGUUUAAGCAUAUCAAUAAGCGGAGGA